GCAGUCGAGCGAAUGGAUUAGAGAGCUUGCUCUUAUGAAGUUAGCGGCGGACGGGUGAGUAACACGUGGGUAACCUGCCCAUAAGACUGGGAUAACUCCGGGAAACCGGGGCUAAUACCGGAUAACAUUUUGAACCGCAUGGUUCGAAAUUGAAAGGCGGCUUCGGCUGUCACUUAUGGAUGGACCCGCGUCGCAUUAGCUAGUUGGUGAGGUAACGGCUCACCAAGGCAACGAUGCGUAGCCGACCUGAGAGGGUGAUCGGCCACACUGGGACUGAGACACGGCCCAGACUCCUACGGGAGGCAGCAGUAGGGAAUCUUCCGCAAUGGACGAAAGUCUGACGGAGCAACGCCGCGUGAGUGAUGAAGGCUUUCGGGUCGUAAAACUCUGUUGUUAGGGAAGAACAAGUGCUAGUUGAAUAAGCUGGCACCUUGACGGUACCUAACCAGAAAGCCACGGCUAACUACGUGCCAACAGCCGCGGUAAUACGUAGGUGGCAAGCGUUAUCCGGAAUUAUUGGGCGUAAAGCGCGCGCAGGUGGUUUCUUAAGUCUGAUGUGAAAGCCCACGGCUCAACCGUGGGAGGGUCAUUGGAAACUGGGAGACUUGAGUGCAGAAGAGGAAAGUGGAAUUCCAUGUGUAGCGGUGAAAUGCGUAGAGAUAUGGAGGAACACCAGUGGCGAAGGCGACUUUCUGGUCUGUAACUGACAC
rnacentral:rRNA from 1 species